AAAUUUCAAGAUCGGGCCUACAACUGUCAGUUUUAUUUAUCUACAUUCGCGUAGUUCAAGCUGGCAUGCUAGCUUAAUUUUUUUAUUACGUUUACGUUCGCAUGGUGAUCAACCCGAGCCUUUUCAAUCGGACAUUUUUUAUUGCAAAAUUUGAUCUUUAUCUGUUUGUUUUCCGGAACUUUAUUUCGCGUAGAUCAUUUUGAUGCAUCCAUUUUUAUUUUUCGCGAUUUUUUAUUCAUU
rnacentral:lncRNA from 1 species